GCCGAAGUGGCGGAAUUGGCAGACGCGCACGACUCAAAAUCGUGUGGUUUCUAAAAAACCAUGUGGGUUCGACUCCCACCUUCGGCA
rnacentral:tRNA from 1 species